GGUCAAGCAACUAAGCGCAUACGGUGGAUGCCUUGGCAGUCAGAGGCGAUGAAGGACGUAGAAACCUGCGAAAAGCCUCGGGGAGCUGGUAAACAAGCUUUGAUCCGAGGAUCUCCGAAUGGGGAAACCCACCCAGUGUAAGCUGGGUAUCGUAUCGUGAAUACAUAGCGAUGCGAGGCGAACCCGGGGAACUGAAACAUCUAAGUACCCGGAGGAAAAGAAAUCAACCGAGAUUCCGAAAGUAGCGGCGAGCGAAAUCGGAUUAGCCCUUAAGCUCUAGUGUAGAUAGUGGAACGCUCUGGGAAGUGCGGCCAUAGUGGGUGAUAGCCCCGUACACGACAUCUUAUCAAGAGUGAAAUCGAGUAGGGCGGGACACGUGAAAUCCUGUCUGAAUAUGGGGGGGACCAUCCUCCAAGGCUAAAUACUACUGACUGACCGAUAGUGAACCAGUACCGUGAGGGAAAGGCGAAAAGAACCCCUGUGAGGGGAGUGAAACAGAACCUGAAACCGUAUGCGUACAAGCA
rnacentral:ncRNA from 1 species